rnacentral:misc_RNA from 1 species
GAUGAAGAACGUAGCGAAAUGCGAUAAGUAAUGUGAAUUGCAGAAUUCAGUGAAUCAUCGAAUCUUUGAACGCACAUUGCGCCCGCCAGUAUUCUGGCGGGCAUGCCUGUUCGAGCGUCAUUUCAACCAUCAAGCGCCCGGCUUGUGUUGGGGACCUGCGGCUGCCGCAGGCCCUGAAAAGCAGUGGCGGGCUCGCUGUCACACCGAGCGUAGUAGCAUACAUCUCGCUCUGGGCGUGCUGCGGGUUCCGGCCGUUAAACCACCUUCAUAACCCAAGGUUGACCUCGGAUCAGGUAGGAAGACCCGCUGAACUUAAGCAUAUCAAUAAGCGGAGGA